CCUACGGGUGGCAGCAGUGAGGAAUAUUGGUCAAUGGCCGGAAGGCUGAACCAGCCAAGCCGCGUGAAGGACGAAGGUGCCAAGCAUUGUAAACUUCUGUUGUCAAGGGACAAAAUCAGGCUCGAGAGCCUGACCGAGGGUACUUGAAUAAAAAGCAUCGGCUAACUCCGUGCCAGCAGCCGCGGUAAUACGGAGGAUGCGGGCGUUAUCCGGAUUUAUUGGGUUUAAGGGGUGCGUGGCCGGGCUGUUAAGGCAGCGGUAAAAGCCCGGGGCUCAACCCCGGCGAGCCGUUGAAACUGGGUGUCUUGAGAUGUCGAGAGGUAUGCGGAAUGCGCAGUGUAGCAGUGAAAUGCUUAGAUAUUGCGCAGAACUCUGAUUGCGAAGGCAGCAUACCGGCGGCGAUCUGACGCUGAGGCACGAAGGCGAGGGUAUCGAACAGGAUUAGAUACCCGAGUAGUC
rnacentral:rRNA from 1 species